AGGUGUGAUCAUACCAGCGUUAAUGCAUCAUAUCCCAUUAGAACUCCAUAGUUAAGCAUGCUUGGGCUAGAGUAGUACUGGGAUGGGUGACCUCCUGAGAAGUCAUAGUGUUGCACCCU
rnacentral:rRNA from 1 species